CCUANGGGGGGCAGCAGUGGGGAAUUUUGGACAAUGGGGGCAACCCUGAUCCAGCCAUGUCGCGUGAGUGAAGAAGGCCUUCGGGUUGUAAACUGCUUUUGUACGGGAAGAAUCUUCCGCACGUGUGCGGAAUUGACGGUACCGUGCGAAUAAGCACCGGCUAACUCCGUGCCAGCAGCCGCGGUAAUACGGAGGGUGCAAGCGUUAUCCGGAUUCAUUGGGUUUAAAGGGUGCGCAGGCGGAAUGAUAAGUCAGUGGUGAAAUCCUACAGCUCAACUGUAGAACUGCCAUUGAUACUGUCGUUCUUGAGUAUAGUUGAAGUGGGUGGAAUGUAUCAUGUAGCGGUGAAAUGCAUAGAUAUGAUACAGAACUCCGAUAGCGAAGGCAACUCACUAAACUAAAACUGACGCUCAUGCACGAAAGCGUGGGGAGCAAACAGGAUUAGAUACCCUUNUANUC
rnacentral:rRNA from 1 species